CCGACGCCCCCAGACCUAGCCACGCCUGCACGCACGCCGCCGCCGCCUGCCGGCGCCUCCCCUCCGCUCCGGCGCUCCCCAACCGUCUCAGGUCCCUCCGCCGCUCAGGACUGCCGCCGCUCGCCCGCGCCCUCCUGCCUCUGCCGCUUGCCCGUCCCCUGCUGCUCCUCCUUCCUCCGCUGCUCACCCAUCCCCUGCUGCUCCGCCUUCGCCGCUCGUCGGCACGCCAUCUACUACUCUGCUUACCAGGAUUGAAAUAAAAGAUGAAGAGAUAUUUUUCAUCCGUGGCAGCAACUGAAGUGUCUACACCCGGGGUAUUCUUUGAGCAUUGUUGUAUUAUCAAGACUGAAUUGAGCCAUAUUUGAGGUAUUCUUUGAGGUAGCUAUAGCCUGAUGGAUGUAA